UGCAGGGAGGUCAGGAGGCAGCUGGACACCAGGAACGCAGUGAGCACUUACCUGCAGGGAGGUCAGGAGGCAGCUGGACACCAGGAGCGCAGUGAGCACUUACCUGCAGGGAGGUCAGGAGGCAGCUGGACACCAGGAGCGCAGUGAGCACUUACCUGCAGGGAGGUCAGGAGGCAGCUGGACACCAGGAGCGCAGUGAGCACUUACCUGCAGGGAGGUCAGGAGGCAGCUGGACACCAGGAACGCAGUGAGCACUUACCUGCAGGGAGGUCAGGAGGCAGCUGGACACCAGGAACGCAGUGAGCACUUACCUGCAGGGAGGUCAGGAGCGCAGUGAGCACUUACCUGCAGGGAGGUCCGGAGUGCAGUGAGCACUUACCUGCAGGGAGGUCAGGAGUGCAGUGAGCACUUACCUGCAGGGAGGUCAGGAGGCAGCUGGACACCAGGAGCGCAGUGAGCACUUACCUGCAGGGAGGUCAGGAGGCAGCUGGACACCAGGAGCGCAGUGAGCACUUACCUGCAGGGAGGUCAGGAGGCAGCUGGACACCAGGAGCGCAGUGAGCACUUACCUGCAGGGAGGUCAGGAGGCAGCUGGACACCAGGAACGCAGUGAGCACUUACCUGCAGGGAGGUCAGGAGGCAGCUGGACACCAGGAGCGCAGUGAGCACUUACCUGCAGGGAGGUCAGGAGGCAGCUGGACACCAGGAACGCAGUGAGCACUUACCUGCAGGGAGGUCAGGAGGCAGCUGGACACCAUGAUCAGCAGCCAGAAGUCCAU